GGCCUGGAAUAUGUACUGUAUGCCCAUCGUCAUGAGACGUGACAUAUCUGUGACAUGAACUUCUAGGCCGUCAGUUUCUCACUCUUUUGCCCUGAUCUAAAAGAACAUGGAAUUGGAGGUCCUACUCAGUGCUAGAGGCAAGGAAGAACCCUGUGUGCUGACAGAUUGGAAAUGAAAGGAUAAAGCUGUUUUUAUCCAUGAGCAAAUAUGGUAGAAAACUGCAAAAAAAAAUCCGUGCUUGGUGGGACACACUUAUAAUCCUGCAGCAUUUGAGAGACGAGGCAGGAGAAUCAGGAGUCCAUGGUUAUCCUUGAUUAUAUAGGGAGUUCAAGGCCAACCUUGGCAACGUGAGACCCUGUAACAUAGAAAACAACAUUAGCACAAACAAAGAUAUCACUAUUUAAAAAAGGAAAAGGAAAAGGAAGGGAAAGAAAAAAGACCAAUUGAUUUGGAGCUGAUGCAUGACUUUAGGAAGUUUACAAGAUACGAAAUAAAUAAUAUAUUUCUAUAAUCCAAUAAUGAAUAAUCAAAUUAAACAAUUUACGGUAUUGAUGAAAAGCAAAAUACCUGUCAAUAAAACAAAAUAUGCACACUACUUUUUUAUUGC
rnacentral:lncRNA from 1 species